UCCAUGUUUCACUAACCACACCCACAUUAUUAAUACACAACAGAACUUCACUCAGUCUCAGUGAACAAACACUCUUUAAAGUGGACUUCAGUUAAGAUGGAGGAGAGGCAAAUGCUGCUCAUGAUGCUCAUCACAGUUUCAGGUGGAUUUGCUGAUAGAAUUGGACCAAAAGAUGGAAAUACUAAUGUAAUCAAAGAAGAAGGAGAGUCUGUGACACUGAGCUGCACAUAUGAAACUAACAGCAAUAAUGUUUGGCUUUACUGGUACAGACAAUAUCCAAACAGAGAACCAGAAUAUUUACUGUAUAAAGCUGCUCGAUACAGCAAUGAAGAUAUACCAGAUGGUUUUCAGUCGAAAACAUCCCAAACAUCCACUGAACUCACUAUUAACAGUGUGACUCUGUCAGAUUCAGCUCUCUAUUAUUGUGCUCUAGUAGUUUUAGCCCAGUGAUACAAAGUGCCUGAGAAGCUUUACAAAAACUCAUACAAAAUUAAUGCUUUGAAGUGUCUUUAAUCAAUCUGUAUCAUGUUACUGUAAACCACAAACAGUGAAUGUGGUAACAGCUGUGAAAUUGGGAGGUUACAUAAGGACAUGUGAAU